rnacentral:rRNA from 1 species
AGAGUUUGAUCCUGGCUCAGGAUGAACGCUAGCGGCAGGCCUAACACAUGCAAGUCGAGGGAUAAGCCCUUCGGGGUGGAAACCGGCGCACGGGUGCGUAACGCGUAUGCAACCUACCUUUCACAGGGGGAUAGCCCGAAGAAAUUUGGAUUAAUACCCCAUAAUAUUGUUGGAUGGCAUCAUUUGACAAUUAAAACUGAGGUGGUGAAAGAUGGGCAUGCGUCCUAUUAGCUAGUUGGAGUGGUAACGGCACCCCAAGGCUACGAUAGGUAGGGGUCCUGAGAGGGAGAUCCCCCACACUGGUACUGAGACAGGGACCAGACUCCUACGGGAGGCAGCAGUGAGGAAUAUUGGUCAAUGGUCGGAAGACUGAACCAGCCAUGCCGCGUGCAGGAAGAAUGCCUUAUGGGUUGUAAACUGCUUUUAUAUGGGAAGAAUAAGGCGUACGUGUACGUUGAUGACGGUACCAUAUGAAUAAGCAUCGGCUAACUCCGUGCCAGCAGCCGCGGUAAUACGGAGGAUGCGAGCGUUAUUCGGAAUCAUUGGGUUUAAAGGGUCUGUAGGCGGGCUAUUAAGUCAGGGGUGAAAGGUUUCAGCUUAACUGAGAAAUUGCCUUUGAUACUGGUAGUCUUGAAUAUCUGUGAAGUUCUUGGAAUGUGUAGUGUAGCGGUGAAAUGCUUAGAUAUUACACAGAACACCGAUUGCGGAGGCAGGGGACUAACAGACGAUUGACGCUGAGAGACGAAAGCGUGGGGAGCGAACAGGAUUAGAUACCCUGGUAGUCCACGCU